AUCGCACUGCACAGCCGCCAGUAUGGCGCCGUCGUUGUUCUGGCACUGCACCUGCCGAUGUUGGUGUCCUUUGCCACACGUGACGUUGCACUGUACGGACGUGCAAACAAACAACAGGAAUAGUGGGAGAUUGUCGAACUGCACCAGGUAAACUUAUGCCUAAACCAAAAUGUUCGAAUUGCAUUCGAUGCGAAAGUUGACGUUAUCACACGAAGUAACUAAUUUAGAAAUAAUCGUAACAACUUAUUUUUAAAUAGUACUUUUUAUAUGCAAGUAUAACUAUUAAUGUAAUAAGUAAAUUGUAGAUGUAUUAUUUAUAAUUAUAAAAAACUCAUUUUUAUAUUAUUGUUUUUAAAUUAUUAUUGAUUUGCAUAACUUUUAUAAUAAUAACAAUACAUUUAGAUACCUAUAAAAUGUGCAAAUAAUUCUCCCGACUGAUAUUCGUUAAUUAAUUCGUUUUACAUUGUAAAUAUUGGAGUUAGUGCAAUUCAAACAUAUCCUUUUAUAAACUCAAGUGUAAUAUAUUUGAACAUUGCCUUUUUCCGUCCCGAUUGCAAUUCGACAAAAAUAAGUGCAAUUCGACCUUCCCGAAUAAUGAUGAUAUGACUUGUAAUGCGACAACGUGUCGCCAACAAUUAUAUUAUUAUUUAUUUAUUACAUUAUAUAGUUCGUUAAGUCCCACGUUUCUUUUGGAUACGACAACUGAGCCCGUACCUUAUUUUUGUAUUACGUAACUAUUAUUCUGACAAAUUGAAUUUAAAUUUGGAAGAAACGAUUAAAUUUUUGAACUCUUAACGUUAAUAUCAAUUAGAAUUGUAACAAAUUCCUACUAAGGUUUGAUAAUAAUUAUUAUGAUAACAGACUUUCAUAUUUUCUGGCGAAUAACAUUAUCACAUUAACUGGUACCUAUACUAUAUUUUAGUAACCUACAAUUUUAAACUGUGACUUUUUUUUUUAAUAAAUUUUUUUUAAAUAUUA